rnacentral:rRNA from 29 species
CUAGCUGCGAGAAUUAAUGUGAAUUGCAGAACACAUUGAACAUCGACACCUUGAACGCAAAUGGCGGCCUCGGGUCCAUCCCGAGGCCACGCCCGUCUGAGGGUCGGCU